rnacentral:antisense_RNA from 1 species
GUGGGAGCUGGCUUGCCUGCGAUAGCUAUCUAUCAGCUAGCUUAUAGGUUGCUGGCCCGCCGCAAUCGCAGGCAAGCCAGCUCCCAC